rnacentral:tRNA from 1 species
UAUAUAUUAAUGUUUAAGCAUAUUAAUUUUUGAAAUUAAUAGUAAUAAUUUAUUUUAUUAUAUAUAA